rnacentral:hammerhead_ribozyme from 1 species
AAGCGAAACCACCGGCAUUCGUGCCGGUUGGUCUGCCUGGUGUAGUGGCCUGGCACUGAUGAGCAGCUAAUA